rnacentral:rRNA from 1 species
GACGGAGGGUGCAAGCGUUGUUCGGAAUUACUGGGCGUAAAGGGCGCGUAGGCGGUCUGUUAAGUUCGGUGUGAAAGCCCCCGGCUCACCUGGGGAACUGCGCCGGAAACCGACAGACUCGAGUACCGGAGAGGAGGGUGGAAUUCCUGGUGUAGCGGUGAAAUGCGUAGAGAUCCGGAGGAACACCAGCGGCGAAGGCGGCAUCCUGGACUGGUCCUGACACUCAGGAGCGAAAGCGUGGGGAGCGAUCCGG